GGCAGUGUCAUGUAGUGGUUUGAGUGUUGGACUACGAUUCUGGAGGCCUGGGUUCGAUUCCCUGUUCCCCCU